UUCCGCACAUUCACGGGCACUCGGCUGAGUCCGCUCCGGCUCCGUGCUCUGGUCUGUCUAUAGGUAAAGCCUCAGUGGAGCCGCCCCGAGGUUCCACAGGACGCUCCCGGCCAGCUGUGAGUGCCCACUCCGGAGGCGGCGCAGGGGCUCGGCGACGCAGCCACACACCUCGCUCUUGGGAAGUUAAAGCCCAGUGCGACCUCUUCGAGGCUGGAGAGCGGACUUAAGGCCACUUCUCCCCGGAAAGAUGCACGAAUGUGAAUUUUUAUAUUAAUUCAGGAGCUGUUUGAAAGGCGGGGGUGGUUCAUCCACUCCAGCAGCGCGCGUCCAGUUUCUUUCUUACGCCACUAGAUAGGACGGUCCCUUGCGGCCCUCUGGGAAGAAAUGACCCCAAGAGUGGCAACAACACAACCUGCAGGGGGUGGGGGAAGGAGUGGCGGGUUUCCUCUCCCGUAGGUAUACUGCCAUCCCCUGCGGGCAGGGAAUUCAGAAGGGCAAGUGUCCAGGGGCUUGCUCGUCGCCCGAGGCGUGCUGGUGCCAGCCCCGCUAGUGCGUGUCUACUGCCCCGUCCCCCCGUUCCCUCCCCCCAACUGCUGCUACUGGGCUCUUUCCGGGGAGAAGGGUCCUGCUUUGGAGCGGGUAGAAGGAAAAGAUGCCAGCGAAAAUGGCUAAUCCUUUUCCAGCUGCAGUAACCCGAUGGCUGGCCAAAGCCGAGCGAAAACCGCUGCAGUGAAAAAUGAUUCCAGCGCCACGUCUGCGGCUGAGAACCGAGCGGCAGGGCAGCAAACGACCUGUGGAUCAAUGAAAAGGAGAUGGUAGCGCAUCUGAAUAUUAACACCGUAUUGCCUCUGUACUGCCCACUCUCCCCUCUCCCCUUCCAGCCCCCUUGUCUUUUUCUUCAGGUCUGCGGGAUGGAAAGGCCAUGUUUUGCGCUCUUGGAGCUGACUCAUCAGAACCAUGCAGCCUUUUGGAAAAGGACGACCCACAGCAACCAUCACCAGCCAUGACGGAAGGGACUGCUCCAUACCAAUAGAUCCUGAAUUUUGAGUUGGUUAUUGUCAAUGGAUGAAAUUAGGGGAAUCGGUCACAUGGAGAACCAAAUGUAUUGUAUGAAAUUCUGCCUACUUCAAGGAUUGGACAUCUCCAUGGUCCUUUAGAGUCAUCUGAAUCUUUUGACACAGCUAUGGCAGUCUGUAUCUGGAGGCAUCACCGCAAGGCAUAGUGCAGAAAAAGAGGGGAGACAAAGAGAUCUUCCACUUACUCACUGGUUCACUUUUGAAAUGGCUGUAACAGCAAGGGCGAGGCCAGGCCAAAGCCAGGAGCCAAGAACUCUGUCCAGUUCGUCCACAUGGGUGACAAGGACCUGAAUACGUGGGCCAUCAUCCGCUGCAUUCACAGUCACAUUGACAAGACUCUGGACUCAAAUUGAAGCAUCCAGGACUUCAACCGGCUCUCCAGUAUGAGACACUAGCAACCUAAGCAGUGACCAGCCACACCGUGAUUCUUUCUUGCUAGUACACCUUUUUAUUUUUUGGUACAGAUAUUCAAUGUAAGAUUACCACCAGUUAGCAAAAAUUAAGUCAGAGGUUCUGCUUCCAUCACAGAUGGACCAACUGAAGAAGCUUCUCUGUUCUAGUAUCCUCACAGUGCUUUCCAAAUGAUAUAACUCACAUUAAGAUUUAAAGACAAUAAUAUGAAAAGACCAGAACAUAUGUAUAAUAUUGAAAAUCUAAAAGCACAAACUUUGUCUUAUAAAUUAGUUAUCAAUUUGCUAGCUGGCAUUGGUCAAUUAACUUCUCCUUGAGUCCUUAUUAAAGCAUUCUCUUAUUACAUUUCUGAUGUCAGAAAUUCCUACCUAUUGAAAAAUGUUGGGACAAAUUCUGUGAAUUUUACUGUUAUCUUGCCCAUUAAUUUAUGCAACUGAGGAAAAUAGAAUUUGAAUGCUGCUUCAUAUUUAUCAAGAUAAUUCUGAAAAGGCCAACUGAGUAAAAGGACAAAUAGAAAACAUGACCUUGGCUUUAGUAGCUACCUUUAUUCUACAUUAAAUAAGAUGAUGUUCUUCAGAAAUAAUGGAUUAUUUUUAUAUGGCGAUCCUACAAAAAUUUGUUGAAAAAAGAAAUUAAAAUUAAUAUUGUUUAUGUUGCAAUG